AUGGCUCAGAUUGAACGCUGGCGGCAGGCCUAACACAUGCAAGUCGAACGGUAACAGGAAGCAGCUUGCUGCUUCGCUGACGAGUGGCGGACGGGUGAGUAAUGUCUGGGAAACUGCCCGAUGGAGGGGGAUAACUACUGGAAACGGUAGCUAAUACCGCAUAAUGUCGCAAGACCAAAGAGGGGGACCUUCGGGCCUCUUGCCAUCGGAUGUGCCCAGAUGGGAUUAGCUUGUUGGUGAGGUAACGGCUCACCAAGGCGACGAUCCCUAGCUGGUCUGAGAGGAUGACCAGCCACACUGGAACUGAGGCACGGUCCAGACUCCUACGGGAGGCAGCAGUGGGGAAUAUUGCACAAUGGGCGCAAGCCUGAUGCAGCCAAUGCCGCGUGUAUGAAGAAGGCCUUCGGGUUGUAAAGUACUUUCAGCGGGAGGAAGGGGUUAAGGUUAAUAACCUUAGCCAUUGACGUUACCCGCAGAAGAAGCACCGGCUAACUCCGUGCCAGCCGCCGC
rnacentral:rRNA from 1 species